UACUGAGUCGUGGUACCUCAGCCUUCAUC
rnacentral:piRNA from 1 species